UGGGGAAUUUUGCGCAAUGGGGGAAACCCUGACGCAGCAACGCCGCGUGAGUGAUGAAGGCCUUCGGGUCGUAAAGCUCUGUCAGAGGGGAAGAAAUGUAGGAGUGCUAAUAUCACUUUUACUUGACGGUACCCUCAAAGGAAGCACCGGCUAACUCCGUGCCAGCAGCCGCGGUAAUACGGAGGGUGCGAGCGUUGUUCGGAAUUAUUGGGCGUAAAGCGCGUGUAGGCGGUCUUUUAAGUCUGAUGUGAAAGCCCCGGGCUCAACCUGGGAAGUGCAUUGGAAACUGGGAGACUUGAAUACGGGAGAGGGUAGUGGAAUUCCUAGUGUAGGAGUGAAAUCCGUAGAUAUUAGGAGGAACACCGGUGGCGAAGGCGGCUACCUGGACCGAUAUUGACGCUGAGACGCGAAAGCGUGGGGAGCAAACA
rnacentral:rRNA from 1 species